AGAAGUAAAUUGUUAUAACAAAGAACACCAGCGAAGUCUUGUCAACAUCACUUUCUGAUGGCAAAGCCCGGUAAAGUUGAAUACAUGAAACUACAUUUCCCAAGAUCCUUUGCCAACUGGCUCGCCAUGAGAUUCAGCCAACGGUAGGUACUAACGGAUGAUUUGAAGUCUGGAGAAGGGCCAUCUUAUGGGAGCAUGUUUCCUUCCCUCUCUGCCUCAGCUUGUGUCAUCUGGAGAAGAGCUCGUCUGUCCUCUAGUAUGUCCCAGGGCUUGCUCCAAUCACGUUGAAGUCCAGCUUCCACUAGCUGGCCCUUGCUCCCAGUUUCCAACAACACUGUCUGCUCUUCUGCUUCCUCCAUUUUGGGGUGCAGUAGUUUCCUGUUUGGGUCAUUGCUAAGACCCUAUUUGCUUUCUCUGGUUUUCCAUCACCAUAUGACCAAUUUUCUGCAUUAAAUUUAUUCUGUUCCAAGUA